rnacentral:rRNA from 1 species
UACGGGGGGGGCAAGCGUUGUUCGGAAUUACUGGGCGUAAAGGGCUCGUAGGCGGCCAACUAAGUCGGAUGUGAAAUCCCCAGGCUUAACCUGGGAACUGCAUCCGAUACUGGAUGGCUUGAAUCCGGGAGAGGGAUGCAGAAUUCCAGGUGUAGCGGUGAAAUGCGUAGAUAUCUGGAGGAAUACCGGUGGUGAAGGCGGCAUCCUGGACCGGCAUUGACGCUGAGUGAGCGAAAGCCAGGGGAGCAAACGGG